rnacentral:tRNA from 2 species
ACUCGCUUAGUUUAUAUGGUAAAACAUCACCCUUACAAGAUGAAGAAAAGGUUCAAGUCCUUUAGUGAGUACCA